CCCAAGACGACAGCUGUUGUUUCAGUCACUUUCUCUAUUGAACUGCCGCGCCGCGCCUCCCCUCAUGACGUCACACAACACAGCCCGACAUCCCUAACAGUGGACUGUCACCCUGGUAACAGGCGUCUGAGCAGAGGGCAAUUUAGCGUUUUAUUUGGUUGCCUUGAACUACUUUUCUUUUGCCAUGAAUUGUAUUGAUGAGAAUUAAAGUACCAGAUGAUUAUGGAUGCACCCAAGCAAAGCCAAGUAGGUGUUGGACCUGGCGUUCAAAUGCGAAGAAACAUGGGAGACUAUGCCGAGGUUCACGGACCCUACAGAGCCAAUCGCGGGUAUUCAGCCUCGCUGCAGCCUCUCCAAGUCCACAACGGUCUGUCUAAUCCACCGCGUGCGUCCACCCUGAGGGAAUGUGAGCUCAUCAUCCGUCAGCUGUACAACACCAACCGUUUAC